AUAAAUUUUCGAAUAACAAAUUUAUUCUUCGUUUAACAAUAACUAAUUCUAAACAUAUACAACAAAUCUUUCCGUUUUUUUUACAAAUUUUAAAAUUUAUUAUACAAUUGACAUUCUGUAUUUGAAGCAAAGACAUUUAUGCUUUUAUGCAGUGGUGGAUUUAAAGGGGGGCGGGGUGGGGCAGGGUGCAUCCCUGUUGGCCUUGGUCAACAGGGGUGCAAAAUUAGAUUUAUCUUAGAAGUAAUUUUAAAUGUUUGCAGGUCUUAGACUAUUUAGAUUAGUUAAGUUUUGGAAUUGAAGGCAGCACCUCAGAACCAGUUCAAAAUACUAAUAACUAAAGUCAAGACCAAAUUAAUCAAACAAAAAUUUUAAUUAAUAAUCUAAUAUCAUGCAUAAUCUUGUUUGACAAUUUAGUACGUUGUCAUUAAGUGAAUCAUUACACAAGCUUAACUAUAAUACAUUGACAUUCUGUAUUUGAAGCAAAGACAUUAUUUAUGCUUUUAUGCAGUGGUGGAUUUAAAGGGGGGGGGGUGCAUCCCUGUUGGCCUUGGUCGACAGGGGUGCAAAAUUAGAUUUAUCUUAGAAGUAAUUUUAAAUGUUUGCAGGUCUUAGACUAUUUAGAUUAGUUAAGUUUUGGAAUUGAAGGCAGCACCUCAGAACCAGUUCAAAAUACUAAUAACUAAAGUCAAGUCAAUUUUAUCAUCAAAGCAAUCAAUACCAAAUUAAUCAAACAAAAAUUU